rnacentral:rRNA from 1 species
UGGCGGACGGGUGAGUAACGCGUGGGUAACCUGCCUCAUACAGGGGGAUAACAGUUAGAAAUGACUGCUAAUACCGCAUAAGCGCACGAGAUCGCAUGAUAAAGUGUGAAAAACUCCGGUGGUACGAGAUGGACCCGCGUCUGAUUAGCUGGUUGGUGGGGUAACGGCCCACCAAGGCGACGAUCAGUAGCCGACCUGAGAGGGUAACCGGCCACAUUGGGACUGAGACACGGCCCAAACUCCUACGGGAGGCAGCAG